CCUACGGGUGGCAGCAGUGAGGAAUAUUGGUCAAUGGGCGGGAGCCUGAACCAGCCAAGUCGCGUGAGGGAAGACGGUCCUAUGGAUUGUACACCUCUUUCGGCGGGGAGCAAUGCCGGGCACGUGUGCCCGGAGGGAGAGUACCCGCAGAAUAAGCCUCGGCUAACUCCGUGCCAGCAGCCGCGGUAAUACGGAGGAUGCGAGCGUUAUCCGGAUGUAUUGGGUUUAAAGGGUGCGUAGGCGGAUUUUUAAGUCAGCGGGAAAAUGGCCGGGCUCAACCCGGGCCGGCCGUUGAAACUGGGGAUCUUGAGUGGGCGAGAAGUAUGCGGAAUGCGUGGUGUAGCGGUGAAAUGCAUAGAUAUCACGCAGAACUCCGAUUGCGAAGGCAGCAUACCGGCGCCCGACUGACGCUGAGGCACGAAAGCGUGGGGAUCGAACAGGAUUAGAUACCCUUGUAGUC
rnacentral:rRNA from 1 species